AUCAGUACCCCAACCAGAAGCCAUGGAUUACAGGCAACAUUCGUACUGACUAAAGGGUAGAGCUGCCGCUUUCAAGGUGCGGGACUCUAACCCGGAAGCUUACAAGAUAUCCCGCUAUGCCCUGCGACAAACCAUCAAACAGGCAAAGCGUCAAUACAGGGCUAAGAUUGAAUCAUACUACACCGGCUCCGACGCUCGUCGGAUGUGGCAGGGCUUGCAAACUAUUACAGACUACAAAGGGAAGCACAGCCGCGACCUGCCCAGUGACACAAGUCUACCAGACGAGCUAAAUCACUUCUAUGCUCGCUUCGAGGCAAGCAACACUGAGGCAUGCAUGAGAGCAUCAGCUGUUCAAGAUGACUGUGUGAUCACACUCUCCGUAACCGACGGAUCCCCAUCAAUGUUCCUCCAACUGAUUGGACUCUUGGAAAGCCCUUUGUUAACAUAGAGCGAGUAUGGUAAUAUCAAAAGGCUACCCUCCUGGAGCACCCCCGCCCUCUCUGAUCCCUACCUUAGACAGGACCUGAGCCCUAGGACCAUGCCUCAGGACUACCUGGCCUGAUGACUCCUUGCUGCCCCCAGUCCUCCUGGCCGUGCUGCUGCUCCAGUUUCAACUGUUCUGCCUGCGUCUAUGGAACCCUGACCUGUUCAUCGGACGUGCUACCUGUCCCAGACCUGCUGUUUUCAACUCUAGAGACAGCAGGAGCGGUAGAGAUACUCCUAAUGAUCGGCUAUGAAAAGCCAACUGACAUUUACUCCUGAGGUGCUGGCCUGUUGCACCCUCGACAACUACUGUGAUUAUUAUUAUUUGACCAUGCUGGUAAUUUAUGAACAUUUGAACAUUUUGGCCAUGUUCUGUUAUAAUCUCUACCCGGCACAGCCAGAAGAGGACUGGCCACCCCUGAUAGCCUGGUUCCUCUCUAGGUUUCUUCCUAGGUUUUUGCCUUUCUGGGGAGUUUUUCCCAGCCCCCAUGCUUCUACACCUGCACUUUGAGAUAUCAGCUGAUGUAAGAAGGGCUAUAGAAAUCAAUUUGAUUUGAUUAGGGCUCACACACACCGUACAGUACACACACAGUAGGGUGCUCACACACACUGUACACACACAGUAGGGCUGGGAUGAUACCAGUAUCGCAUUAUUUCUUCCAUGGCAAAAAUGAAAACACAAAGCAGAUAUCAUGGCACAGAUGCAGACACAGGAGGCAGAUGGUUGGAGUAUUACAAUGUUUAUUAAUCCAAAGGAGUAGGCAAGAGAAUAGUCGUGGACAGGCUAAUACCAAUGGGUACCGAAGGGCAGGCAGAAUCAAGGUCAGGGCAGGCAGGAUGAUCAGGCAGGCACAAAAGCAGUCCAGAGCCAGGCAGGGGUCAGAACCGGAAGGAUUAUAAAAAGAGAAUAGGAAAGGAGUACGGGAAAAACACGCUGGUUGACUUGACUAAACAUGCAAGACGAACUGGCACAGAGAGACAGGAAACACAGGGAUAAAUACACUGGGGAAAAUAAGCGACACCUGGAGGGGGUGGAGACAAUCACAGGAACAGGUGAAACAGAUCAGGGUGUGACAGCAGACUAAACUCUUUUUUUUUAAUGCUGUAUGUAAACUAUUGUGUGCUAUAGCUUUAAAAAAUACAACAAUUUGACUCUGGAGGACAAAAUAAUGAUGUUUGUUUCCAACAUUAGGGCUGUUUUCCUAAAGAAGUUAAAUCUGCGUCAUAUUUUGUUUCCUUGCCAUGAUACUAACACGUUUCGCGAUACUGGUAUCGUCCCGGCCCUAACGCACACACACACAUCCUACAUUUCCACAGCACACUCAGGUUGACCAGUAGCUAGAUGUGUCAUUAAUUCAUAUAAACUCGGACAAAUGCCAAGUAUGACACACAUACGGCCUCUUGCCUCUUACUCACACUCCUCCUCAUGCCCACAAUAUCAUGCAGCUUAUCAACCUACACAUUCACACUCUCCCUCCUACACACACUAUGACUAUGUUCUUCUUAAUCUAGUGUCUCUCUGUCUCAACUCUUUGCUGCAGUGGGUCGUGCUGAGGAUCAUAUUGGGGACAGCUGUGUUCCAGGUUAUAUGAGGGAAGUGGGACAUAUGGGCAGCUGUGAUGUAACCACAGGAGGAGAGGAGGAAGUCAGGGAGGGAGGGACAGCCAUGUUUGUGACAGGCCCACUGGGACAGACAGACAGAUCUGGCACUGUGGUUCUGUUCUGGUCCUCAUGGAGAUCUCUGGUUUACCUGUCUCUCUCCCAGGAUGUUAAUACCUCCAGGGUGUUGGGGUGUGUGCGCACUAGGGUUGAAUAUUUUCCAAGUAUUUUACAAAUGUUCCAGCCUGAGAUUAUAUCACUUUUCUCCCAGGUAAUUCGGUGUGUCAUUCAAAAGCAUAUACAUAUGUCUGGAUUUGAUUAGGGCUUUGAUCAGCAUGAACAUUCAGACCUGAUGCUACCUGAGCCUAAUGAGCCAUAUAUUAAGUACAUUUUAGGAGCCCUACAUUAACAACAUUUAAUGAGCCCAAGCCCCAAAUAGCUCAAAUGAUUGUGUCGUUAUCCAAUACAUAUAUGAUAUAGGCUACUGCACAUUAUGCACAUCAUAAAAACUUAAAACCCCAUAGAUGUAGCUAGAUAUAUGAUCUCUUGGGUAAAUAAAUUAAACUAGCUCCAGUAAGCUUUGUUUUUUUUAGUGUGAACUGUAUUACUGUACUGUGUUGUUUUAUAUUGACUGGAAUAACAUCAUGAUAGAGCAGAAGAGAACAUGCGUUUCUAGUGCAGCACAUGCACACAAUUUGAUUUGAAUUUUUAAAUAUAAUAGGCCCUAUUUGUAUAAUUAGUAGGCUGAUGUAUAUACACCUUUCAUAAUAUUUCCCUUAAUGUUAUUAGCCUACCUCCUCUUUCUCUCUCUAUUGUUGCUUCAUUCAUUCCUCGCUUUCAACAGUUAAAUGAAAUACAUUUUGUUGUCAUUCUGAUGACAUCCUUGAAUAAUAUUAGACUAAAAUUAGAUGCAGAAGGCUUUCACUUCUCUUCACGAAGAUUGAAUGGUUAUGGGUCUGAAUAAAUAACUGCUUUAGCCUACUGCCGUUGUGCGCGUUCACUCUUCUUUCCAUCUACCGGCGAGUUCUAUUGGCGGCUGUAUUUAACAUUCAGCAAAAAAAGAGCUUGAGUCCCUCUUCGAAUAGUCUAUUGGUAUAAGAAAUACCAAUACCAAUAUUCUAGUCCAGCUUUUCCUGCAUGGGACUCCAAGAGCUAAGGAGCACUUUUUAAGGAGAGAGGCCAGCAAAGCACAGGUAUGUGUGUAUUGCGCAAGAGACAGAAGCUAUAAGUUAGAAACUUAUUGUGCAUAACCCAUCAUUAAUUAGCUAAAUAUAAGGCUAAUGCAUUGAAUGUAUUACCUGAAAGAGAUAGGACAUCUCUAUAUAAGGCUAUAUAUUUUAAGUUGAUGGAGCGAGAGAAAGACAGAGAGUGUUUGUGCAUGCCCGAUAAAGCAACGAUAUUCCAGUGAUAGGCUGUUUUAAAACUCUGCAGCUGCAAUAAAAAAACAGACUCUUUAAAAUAACAAAACAAGGUGACCCCCGAAAGCCAGAUGGAGAUGGGUAAAUUAGAUGCGCAUUCUGUCUUUAUAUUAGCAAAUGUAGACCUACCUGUCACAAGAGAAAAGUUACCAUGAUGAGAUGAUCGUUCUACAUGCAUUGUGAACUACACUCCAUACUGAGAUGGGCUGUCUGUCCCCACCCUGAGUGUUGAUUCAUCAUGCAGAGGCCCUAGAGAAGCCAGCUUUAGCCAUUGCACAUAAUUUAACAGUUCCAUUUCAUGCCAUGCUGUUCAUAUAAAUACUUUAUUAUAAUUGACUGGUUUCUCUCAGUUAUUUACCCCGGGAAGGGAAGUGGUUUUAGGCAGUAAAUCUCGGGAAACCUGGUUCCCGCCAUUCAACCAUAAUGUGCACGCCCUUCAUUCUAUCUAUUUUCAGUAUGAACAUUUUAGUAGUGAAUUACAUUUUCUGUGUGUAUGUUGCUAGCAGAGUAGAAGCUCAUCCCUUCUGGCGUAUGUAGUGGUGUCAGUGGCAUGUGUUCUGGUUACUUACUGCUCUUUAAAGGGCUCUGCUUAGCACCACUGAUACCCUCUGAGUUACAUCCUGACUGGAACAGCCCUCUCUGGGCACCAGCCUCUGGUGUUUGGGAGUUAGCACCUAGGCCUACACUCUGGCUAAUGCAACACAGAACAGUCCCACUCAACCCUCCCAAAGACACCCUCACACAUUCAGACUCACUGACACAUCCCUCUCUGUCUCUUCUGGUCGGUGCAGGCAGCCCGGGCAGCUGGCUGGCCAUUUGGUGAACACUUGUCCUCUGAAUGUGAUCUCAUCUCAUCCCUGUAGCUCAGUAUGGAGGGGCUUGUCAUCUCUCCAGCUGGCAGGGCAUCACUCACACACACACACACACACACACACACACACACA
ensembl:lncRNA